rnacentral:tRNA from 7 species
UCUAAUAUGGCAGAUUAGUGCAAUGAAUUUAAGAUUCAUAUAUAAAAUAUUAUUUUUAUUAGAA